CCCGCCACUGCCCUGACCAGUUCUCUGUUGGCUGGUGCCAGUCCAGUGAUGAGCUGAUAGUAAACCCCAGCUUAGGGAACAGGGGUGGGUGGGUGGGAGUGGUGGUUUCAUGUGGAUGACUCCGUGCUGGGAACAGCC
rnacentral:snoRNA from 1 species